AUUCAUGAGAAAAAAAAGCUCUACGCGCUGAAAAAUAAUUAGUCGUCUAUUUUUGAUUGGUAUUCACUAGGAGUAGAAUUGUGACUUCAACCUAACCACUAACCAUCCCCGGUCCGCAGGUGGACACAUCUGGUUGCUCGCGAGGAGGAAAAGCCCGUAUUGAAACAAUCUGGAUACUGUAGUUGAACUAAUCAUCUAGGUCUAAAUUAAAAUGACUGUUAUUUUACCAAUAAAGACCUUGGAGUCGGGUUGUUUGUGAUUACAGCCCAAAGUGGGUGGUAAACUCCAUCCAAGGCUAAAUACUUGCACGAGUCCGAUAGCGAACAAGUACCGUGAGGGAAAGUUGAAAAGUACUUUGAAGAGAGAGUAAACAGUGCGUGAAACCGCUCAGAGGUAAACGGGUGGAGUUGAACUGCAAGCUCCGAGGAUUCAGCUGGUGAGAUUGGCAUGAGCUUGGUCAUGUGGGUUGUGUGUUCGGGUCUGCUUAGCUGCAGGUCCUCGCCUUUGGUGGGGAUGCGCGUAUCGCUUAUCAAGCGUUGUGCGCCCGGGCUUCUCGAGCCUGCUCGCUAGUGCACUUUCUCGGAGUGUUCACCACGACCGGCGUUGCUGUCUGGCUGGUGCGGUUAAACCGGUCUUGUAGGGUCCUUGUGGCCUUGCUUGGUCGGGAUGGCAGGUAGCCCGUUGUGUACUUCGGUGUGCUUCGGGUGUAAUAGCCGACUGCAUCGGUUCUGUGCGGUACGUCGGAGACGGCGGCUUGUUGUGCGUGCGGGCGUGCCUGUUGCGCUGGCGGCUCUGAGUCUGGUUGCCUUGUUGCUUGUAAAUGCAGGCCAGGUGAUGGCUCGGGGUCGUUCGGUGUGCGGUUGCGUUCGUGGCACUUUAAAGGGCCUAAAGUCUGUGGUGUAGUGGUAGACUAUCCACCUGACCCGUCUUGAAACACGGACCAAGGAGAGUA
rnacentral:ncRNA from 1 species